rnacentral:misc_RNA from 1 species
GAUGAAGAACGUAGCGAAAUGCGAUAAGUAAUGUGAAUUGCAGAAUUCAGUGAAUCAUCGAAUCUUUGAACGCACCUUGCGCCCUUUGGCCAUUCCGAAGGGCAUGCCUGUUUGAGUAUCAUGAACACCUCAACUCUUCAUGGUUUUCCAUGAUGAGCUUGGACUUUGGGGGUCUUGCUGGUCUGUGGGUCGGCUCCUCUCAAAUGAAUCAGCUUGCCGGUUUUUGGUGGGCAUCACAGGUGUGAUAACUAUCUACGCUUGUGGUUUUCCACCAGGGUAACCUUCAGCAGUGGAGGUUCACUGGAGCUUACAAAUGUCUCUCCUCUGUGAGGACAGCCCUUUGAAUGUUUGAUCUCAAAUCAGGUAGGACUACCCGCUGAACUUAAGCAUAUCAAUAAGCGGAGGA